CUUCAGACGGUUAACAGUUUUCCAAUUCCCGCUGCACGAUGCAUCUCAUUGCUGGCCAAGAGCGAUGCGAUGGGUUGCGAUGCCAAGCAGAUGGAGAUGCAGAUGCAGAUACAUUUGGAUGCGAUGCAAACGGGGGCGGAGCGGAAAAGCGACACACAGAAGCCCAAGGAUGCGAAGCGUGUCCACCAGUGGGCAUCCGCCAUGUUAAGCAGCUGGGUAUGCACCGGUCAUGCUAUCUGCUAAAAUAUGUCAGCUAACUUAUCUUGUGGUCUUAAGGACUGUAUAUUGUUGCACCCGAAUGAAGGGGCAUCUCUAAUGUUACUCCAUCUUGCACCAAUGUUUGCCCUGCGUGUCCCAGAGCUGUUGCAUUGGGUUUGGGAACUGGUGCUGCUGUUGCUUCCACUUCAGUUUCGGUUGCCGGUUAAUUGUAUGCGACUGCUGCAACUCACGGCUGCCAACAUGCGGCAAUUGACAUUGAUCAGAGCUGACCUUAACGGAGUGGGGGGCCAGACAACCGCCCACGGCGCCCACUCCACCCACCGGUCACUUAAUGCGCUUAAAACGAGACACAAUGAGAGUGACAGGAGGUUCGAGCUCGGGCAAUGGGGAAUCCCCUCAUCAUUAUGCAGAUGGAUACACGGAAUGUUCCCUAGAGGCAUGCAAAUGGAAUGCGAAAAGUGCGCCUACGACAAGAGUCUAGUGGGUGGAAGGGUGGCAUGGUAAUGAGUAGUUUCCCCCCAACUUUCUUCCCGCUUCCAUGUGGCCGGGAGUAAUUGCGGAAAAUGAAUUAAAGGCAAUUUGCGGUGGGACACGAGGAUGGGGUGAAGGAUCCUGCAAUGGGAAGAUGAACAACGAAUGGCAACAAAAUGCCAAGUGAAAGCAAACAACGUAAGCUGUUGCUGCAUAGGCGAAGGACGAGGCCAGGAGUCCUGAGUCCUGAGACCUGAUGGAGCAAUGUUGCAGGAAGCUGGCAAGCAGCAACACCACCAGCAACAGCAGCAACAUCGCCCGGAAACAGGAUGAGAUCCAAGGAGCAGCAGCAACAGCAAUGGCAAAAGCAACGCUAGCAAUCGUAACAUGCAAAUGGGAAAGGCACACACGUGUGUGUUGUGCUGUGUUGAAAUUGCAUUUAAAAAGCUAAAAGAAAAGCGGAUGCAACAAUUUGCCAUUGUGAAACUGUCAGGGGAGGUGUGAGUUAAGAGGAAGUCGCUCCAACCGCCUGAUUUUCCACCUGCUAUACCUUUUCGCCGCCUGUCUGCGUCUGUCUUCAUGACUUUCCCCAGGCAAUUUGAGCGAAUUUCGAAGUCACUCGAGG
ensembl:ncRNA lncRNA:CR34047 long non-coding RNA:CR34047